rnacentral:lncRNA from 1 species
GUAUGUCUUGAGAAAGAUUCUUUACUGCCUGAGCCACCAGGAAAGCCCACAGAUAUAUGUACAUGAAGGUAAGAGCACACAUAUAGUUAGUUUGCCAUGGCCAAGAAUAAGUUUCAAGGAACCUGAAAAGUGGGGAGGUGGGGCUGGAUAGUUGGUGGGGCCAGAUCAUAAAAGGCCUUAUUCUGUGAAAAGGAAAGCGCCCCUUAACAUUUUUUUUUUUUUUAAUUUUUUGGCCUUGUGCAUGUAGCAUGUGGGAUCCUAAGUGCCCAACCAGGGAUCAAACCUGCAGCCCCUCUAUUUAAAGGGUGGAGUUCUAACCAUUGGCCCUCCAGGGA